rnacentral:lncRNA from 1 species
AAUAUCUGAAUUCGCUUCUUGAAUACAGUCAGUUCUAGACUGACCGUACAGUAAUUUAUUUUGGGAUCCUCAAGGAAAACAUUUUUUUUUAUGGAAAAUACGAAUAUUCUACUUAAAUACGAAAAGAAUAUUGAAACAGUAUAUAUUUAACUGUAAACUGAUGCAAAUAUUUGCAAUAAAAGAUUAUUUGCUUUGUACUACGAGAGCAAAAUUGUCCAUCGAUUUCACUUUUUUUCUAUCAAGUUGGUGUGAUGCACACGUAUAUUUUAUAUUCUGGUGCAUGUUUUUG